UUAUACACCAUCAGUACAUGGAAAUUAAAUGCACAAAAAAUCAUUGUGGUUAACUUUUAUAUAUUAGGGGAAGUCUUUUGACUAGGUCAAGAUACUGAAGCAGGGCAUAUUUGGAAGCAACCCCACAAACAGAAACAAGAAGAUGUGUGCCUCUCUUUCUGUAUCUUUAAUCUGUCUGUCUCUCUCUGAAUCCCAUUUUUUCAUAAUUUGAAUCUGAUGAUUGAGGGAUCCAAGGCUUUCAUCAUGAGAGAGUAAGAUCAAAAACUAACAAAAUAUAUUAAAAGCAACAAAGAAAGAAAGAAAAAGCAAGAAAAGCAAAGGCAAAGAUUCUACAUAUCAUUCAUUCUCUUGGCCUUAUUUUGAGCAGCCAGCAGCAGAUCCAAGAAGAGAGUUUUGCUUACUUUCAUGCAAAAAUCACUUGUAUUAAAUAGAAAAGAAAAGAAAAAAGCUUUAUGUUGAUUGUGACUAUAUGUAAAAGAAGCCAUUUCUAACUUUCUCUUUAAUUAAAGAAAAAGUCUGCAAAAGAGCAUGCUGUGGAAACUGUCUCCAUGCCAAUCUUUUUUCUCUAAAUACACACACAUUAAUACAUUUUGGCAUAUAUAUCAUGUCCCAUUCUCC
rnacentral:lncRNA from 1 species